CGUCUAUAUACGUAUAGCAUAUCAAUAAGCGGAGGAAAAGAAACUAACUAGGAUUCCCUUAGUAACGGCGAGUGAAGCGGGAAGAGCUCAAAUUUGAAAUCUUCAAGGUUUUACCUUGACGAAUUGUAGUUUAAAGAAGUGUUUUCUGUUGAAGUUUUGGUAAAAGUUCUUUGGAAUAGGACAUCAUAGAGGGUGAUGAAUCCCGUAUUUGACCAUUACUUUCCAGCUGUUGUGAUACACUUUCAAAGAGUCGGAUUGUUUGGGAAUGCAGUCCAAAAUGGGUGGUAAAUUUCAUCUAAAGCUAAAUAUUGGCGAGAGACCGAUAGCGAACAAGUACCGUGAGGGGAAGAUGAAAAGAACUUUGAAAAGAGAGUUAAACAGUACGUGAAAUUGUCAAAAGGGAAGCGUUUGACACCAGUGUUGUUUUCUCGAAAAUCAAUUAAAAAGUGUUGGAUUUUGUAUUGUUAAGACCUUAUCAGCUUACUGUACUCUUUUCCUGCUCUUUUUAAUGCACUUUUCGUUUAACAAGUCAACAUCAAUUUCUUUUGUUGUAAAAGAGUCAUUGGAAGGUGGCUUUCACUUCGGUGAAAGUGUUUAUAGCCUCUGGCUUCUGCAAUCGGAGAGAUUGAGGUCUGCAGCGUAGAUCCUUCGGGGUUAGAUACGUAGAUGCUAAGUUAUAGUUUUUUAUAGACAACUUGUUGACUAUAAUUAAUCAUGUAGCUUACUCGUUUGCGCUAUUUUACCUACGCUUAGGAUGUUGAUGUGAUACUGCGAGC
rnacentral:rRNA from 1 species